rnacentral:lncRNA from 1 species
GAUUCAAUAUUGGAAAUAAUAAUUCCUUUUAUCUGUGAGUAUAUGAGAUAGCAUUGUUUAUAAUUUGUAUGGUUAGAAUUGUUAACCAUAGUCUGCGUUUAAACUAGAACUCAAUUUAGUUAUUCAUUAAUUUAUUAUUGAGAUAUUCAUUAAGUGAGUUAAUACAAUUUGGCAACUAAAACCAAAUAUGAGUAUUUGAUUGAUCAAAAUUACACACACACACACACACACACACACACACACACGCAUAUAUAUUUCUGGCUUCUCUAAUAAAAGUUUUUAUAACUGACCCUCACAGUAAGUCAUGCCACAAAGCCUAUCCAUGCUGUUUUUACUGUUGUUCUUCAAUCGAAUGACAACUUAAGAUUGACCCUACAGAAUCUAAGAUCACAAUUAGAUCACUCUUUAUUUUAUUCUUGCCCCCUCCUCUUACCUAUAUCCCUUCCAUAUCUUCUUUUUAAUUCUCUUUUUCCCUCUGCUUCCUUAUGCACCAGGAACACAAUUGUGUUACUCAUUCACUCAAUGAAUAUUUAUUAAGCACUAUGUACCAGGUAUUGUGCUAGGCACCAGCAAUACAGGAGAGAGCAAAAAUUGAACAAGUUCCUGGCCUUACAGAGCUCACACACAGUCCAGGGGAGCCAGACGUUAAUAAUAGAAGCAUUUAUAGAAAUGUAAAAUUCUAAUAGGAGACCAUUUAAGAAAAAUCAGAGUAAGUUUCUCUGAGGAAAUGGACUGAGCUGAAAUUAAUGAGUUAAUGAGGUAGAUACGGAGAAGAAGGAAGAGCUUUCAAGGCAGAGGAAACAGCCCUUCCAAAGACGUGUGGCAUAACAGAGCUUGGCUUAUUAGAGGAACUUACAGAAUUACACUGGUCUUGCAGUUCAGAAAACAAAGGGGAGAGUGCUAAAUUGCUAAGGGGAGAGGCUGAAUUGCUAAGCAGGUACCACCUCUCUCCAUGGACUUGUGGGUCAGGUUAGAUUUUGGUCUGUAUCCUAAGGGCAAAAGAAAGCAUCACAGUGGGAAAGAUUAUGUUGCUUCCAAUGAGGAGAACUGGGAAAUGCUUUAGGUACAGCAUUUAAAAGGCCACUGCCACAGUCCAGGCAAUGGUAGCUUAGACCAGAGUGUUAAGAGUGGAGAUGAAAAGUGGAGGGAACCAAUAGGGAUUUUAGAAUUACAACUCAAAGAACAUGAUGAUGGAUUAUAUUUGGGAAGUAAGAGAGAGGACAAUUUCAAGGACGACUUUUAAAUAUCUGGCUUGUACAACUGAAUGCAUGGCAGUGCCAUUUUUUAAAGCAUAGGAACCACAGGAAGUGGAGCAGGUUUAGGAUUUAUAUACAAGUGAAGUCUGGUUUAAAUAUUUAUCCAGAGCUAUUUGAAAGGAAAAUUUACAUAAACCUAUUAUAAAUACUUUUGUGACUGCUAAAUAAAUGUUGUUACAAAAUAAAAUAAGUGGAAAAGAUACAUUUAAUCAGGAUAAGAAUAUAGACCCUGAGAGAGAUUUUACAAUAUAUUUAAUACUAUAUAUUGCUAUAGGCAAUUCUGUUUGCUACAAAAAUCUGUGCCAAAACUAUUUUAUGGAAGCAUUUCAUAUCUAACAGUCAAAAUGUUUUUGGGGGCCGGACAUGGUGGCACACACCUAUAAUCCCAGCACUUUGGAAGGACAAAGCGGGUGGAUCACUUGAGGUCAGGAGUUCAAGACCAGCCCGGCCAACAUGAUGAAACCCCAUCUCUACUAAAAAUACAAAACUUAGCCAGGCAUGGUCGUGGGUGCCUG